GACGAACGCUGGCGGCGUGCCUAACACAUGCAAGUCGAACGGAGUAUUUAUUUAUAAAUACUUAGUGGCGAACGGGAGAGUAACGCGUAGACAACCUACCCUCUAGAUGGGGACAACACCGCGAAAGUGGUGCUAAUACCGAAUGUUGUAAUGUUGUUGCAUAAUGAUAUUACUAAAGGUGGCCUCUAUAUAUAAGCUACCGCUAGAAGAUGGGUCUGCGUCUGAUUAGCUAGUUGGUGAGAUAACAGCUCACCAAGGCAAUGAUCAGUAGCCGGUCUGAGAGGAUGAACGGCCACACUGGGACUGAGACACGGCCCAGACUCCUACGAGAGGCAGCAGUGGGGAAUCUUCCGCAAUGGACGAAAGUCUGACGGAGCAACGCCGCGUGAGUGAAGAAGGUUUUCGGAUCGUAAAGCUCUGUCUUCAAGGACGAAUGUAGAUAUUGUGAAUAAUGAUAUUUAAUGACGGUACUUGAGGAGGAAGCCACGGCUAACUACGUGCCAGCAGCCGCCGUAA
rnacentral:rRNA from 1 species